GUGAGGAUGGCUCGGGUCUCCCGCCCCACCAAACUCCCCAAGUCACUUCCCUACUUAUCGCUGGCUGCCAGGGCCCUCCAAGUCUCUCAUUCACUUUUUAACAGCUCCCGGAGUUUAGUCUCAGGGAACCGUCUCCAUUCAGGCAGAUUUUCAUCUCAUCGCUUGCAUCCUCAUUUUAAUUGAUAAUUGCCUUUGUUAGUCACUUUCUUCAAUUGUGUGCAGCUGAUUUGGUUAACUCAGUAAAUGGAUCGCCAGAGUUUGUUUUCUUUUAUAAUCUAAGAUGUUUAACAUCUGUCGUAAAAUAGGACCUUGUGCUUUCGCAUCUGUGUGUAUGGUAACAGCAAGCUAGGCUAAGGUCUCAGAAUUCCAUUUACGAACAGAUUGGGAACUCCAUUCUUCAUUAAUCAACUCGACUUUCAAGACCAGUUGUUGAUAGCCAUCUUUCCCAGGCUACCUGACUUUUUGGACCCUGUAAGCGUUUUGGUUGUUGUUUUUAACUGAUCCCAGUGCAGAAAUUCCAUGUCUUUCCAUGAUGUAUCAGGUGUUGCCACGAUGGAUUUGCCAAUAGCCUUGGUCCAAGAUCUUUUAGGGCGACGUUGAGAGUGUUUAUACAUAACACUCCAGAUAAAAGAGAGUGGUCCCUGAAAGUGUUUUGUGUUUGGAAGGUAUUUUUUCAGAAGAGGUUUAAAAUUUUUAUUUCUGAAAUUAUAGUAGAAUUGCAUCAGUUCUCCCUUCCUGCUAGGAGCAAAAUUGAGUCUCUGCGUGGGGUUUCCCAGGGUAACUUGAAAGUUAGUUUGCGUUGAUUUUGCUGGCAAUUGGUCAGUUAAUCAUAGAGGUGCAGUGUGCUAUUUAGAGACCUAUGAACAAGUUGGUAAGCUGGCUUGGGUUUUGUGGAUAGUAGGAAAGCAAGCAUUCUCUACAUAGUAUAUAGUAUAUAGUAUAUAGUAUAUAGUAUAUAGUAUAUAGUAUAUAGUAUAUAGUGUAUAGUGUAUAGUAUAAAGUAUAUAGUAGUUGACAUUUGUGAGGAAGGAAUAAGUUAAGACAAUUACCUGGUCACUUUGUGUGGUGACAUUCUUCCAAAUGGUACUAGGUACAUACAUGUACCAAGUGUCAUCUCUUCCCAAUUCAGCUUUUUUUAACAACCCCCCCCCCCCGGCUCAUUCCCAGAGAUUAAUGACCUCCUUGUAAUUUUGAGAUGUCUCACAGCAGUUACUGCUCUUCUUUUUCUGUGUUCUCAAAGAUUUCUAAAGAAAGCCUCAUAUACAUUAUCUUCCGUUUUUACCCAAAACAGUCUGUUUUGGUUGAUAGUCACCACUCAAAUUAGCUGCAAUAAGAAAAGGAAAACAUUUCCUGAGGGAAAGAAAGGGUACAAUAUCCUUAAGUACAGAUACAUCAACUAAAAUGAGAUUCAUUUUGGUGGUGUCUGACGAAUGAAGUAUGUUUUAGUUAGUGAUUUAGAAUAGUAAACUUUAAAAUUCUCUAAACACGAGCACCAGUGCAUACAAUUGAGCAAGCUUGUGAGUCUUUUCCUAAAACACCAUUGCUGUCUACUGCACUUGUUAGCUGGAGUACAUACAAGCGCCAGGAUUCUUACUCUCAGAAGCUGGAAGUCUCCUUGGGAACAAGUGUUAUUUAGCAUCUCUUUUCUGGAUAAUAGUAGAACAAUUCAAUCCCACUUUACUUUUUUUGGAGGGGGGAGUGAAAUUGUUAGAAGCAUGUUUUUUUGUAUUAACAUCUUGUGUGACCACAAAAAUAUCAAUUUCACUUUGAAGGCUGGAAAGCUUUGAGCCUCCUACGAAGCAGCUAAUAAACGCAGUAGAGAAACCGUGGAUAUUAUCAUUGUAAAGGUUUUGGGGGCUGGACUGGGUUCCUGAGACUGGUUUGAAGAAGCACUACCUCCUGUCACCCUGGCGUGCUUCCACUGAGUAUAGUCCCCAUCUCCUAAGUCAGACUGUAUAAUGUAUUUUAAUGAUUUUUAUUAUUUAUUUAUUUUUGAGACAUUGUAAGACUAUCUUACUACAUAGCUAACCCUGGCUGGCCUUGAACUCAGAGAUUCACCUACUUAUGUCUCUUAAGUGCUAGGAAAAAAAUAUGUGUGUUGUUGCCAUACCUGGUUUGUAUAAUUUUUUUUUUUUUUUUUUGAGUUUAUUAUGUAGCUUUAGCUGUCCUGGAACUCUCUGUGUAGACCAUGUUGCCCUAAGAGAUCUACCUUCCUCUGCCUACAGAUUGCUGGGGUUAGAGGCAUGUGCCCAUGCCUGGCUUGUUUAACAUCUCAUUCCCAUUAAUUUUUUUAUUGGUGUUUUUAUUUAGAGGCUGUUCGUGAAGUGUUGAGUACCAUGACUGUAUUUUAGAACAUGUCAUUAGUUUGUUAGUCUUUGCAUCUAUAGCACUUGAUUCUUUUGGGUAGGCUACUUCUAAAGUUAGUGUUUAUUGUGUUGUUUUCUUUGGUUCUGUAGUAAGGAAUUAGAUUUUUUUCCCCCCUCACAAUUUGUAAGAAGAUAUGAUGUUCUAAGGGUGACUUUCAAAUGUGUGCUUAAAAUUGAUAUAGUAGUCAAAUAAACUGGAAUCUUACUGAUCCG
rnacentral:lncRNA from 1 species